CUGUGGGUAAAGGUGGGAAUCACCGGAAGCAUCAUAACUGGAUAAAAUGAGUGAGGAUCAUACGAAGCCAUCACACUGACUGGAUCAACCUGUUCUCCAACUUUCUCUGUGUGUCAAAGGAUAUGCAUAUAUAAAGAGGUGCAGCAGAUGCAGACGUGGAUUUUGUGUGCGGACAUACUGUUGGAGCUGGCAUUGGGGCAUAUGUGGAGGCUUCUAUUUGCCGAAAGCUGCUGCAAAUUGUUGGGUUAGGUCUCAUCUUUCUGCCAUCUCCCUCAAGUUUGCUUUUGAAGGGAAAUUUUGAUGAUCGAGUUUUUUGGGUGGAUAGGGUGCUCGGACGGCCAAAAGGCGUGGGAGGUAUGAAGUCAUCACUGGUUUUUUUGGUGCCAGAAUCUGUAGCGACAUUAGUAGACUCACUGCCAGGAGCGGAAUUUCUCGAAGGUCCAAAAUGGGAGUUGGUGAUGGCAGCAGCAGUGUAUGGGAAACUAAAUGCGGGUGGUUUAGUGGAGGCAUUACAUUGACAGAUUGAGCCGCCUCCAAGGUUGGGAUUGGUGACGCUGUAUGUGGUGUUGCUCGAUGGACCACCAGAUGAGGCCAUUGAGAACUGGAAAGCCAGCUUCACUGCACUUGGUGUGAACCAUGAAGGUUGGGAAAAUGGGGCGAUGAAGCUGCUGCUGACAGAUGGUUUGGUGGCAGUGCUUGGAGCGAACAGUUUGCUGAUAGCAGGAGCAGCAGACGGAGCAAACCCUUCAAAAGAUGACUCCUGCUUUGAUUCUGCAUGGGAAAGAAAAGAGUUUAGUCAGCACUAUAAACUGGUAAACUGUGACAUGACAUUAGACCCAAAGGGGCAAUUCUUAGUUCAACCAUUGGGUGUAACUGACUUAGGAUCACUGAUGAUUGAAUUGUUUCUUGCUCUGAUCUCGGUGAUACAUUUUAUAGUAUCUAAGCUGAUUUCUUGGGCGUGUAGACUAAUUUGGAGGCAGAGUGUAAUUUCAAUUUUUACUUCCUGUAUUGAUUGACUCACAAGGGCAUGAAGCCAGAAAUGCCUGGUUAACAAUGUAGUUGAGGUUGAUCUUUGUCUUGA